rnacentral:piRNA from 1 species
UCAAAAGAUGGUUUUGCAACUCAACCUCAGU